CCGAACCGAUAUAACCCGAAUCCGUACGAUAUAUGAUUACUUUAUGGGUUUUAUGAUGCAAUACAAUUUUGAACCGAACCCGAAGUGUUAUUAUCCGAACCCGAUCCGUACUAAUAAAAUUUUAGUAUGGGACCUAGAAGCGUAAACCCAAAAAUCCGAAAACCCGAAAAACCCGACCCGAAUGCCAACGGGUACCCGAACGCCCAGGCCUAGAC
rnacentral:lncRNA from 1 species